UGUGGUUUAAUUCGAAGCAACGCGCAGAACCUUACCAACCCUUGACAUCCUGUGCUAACUCGAGAGAUCGAGCGUUCACUUCGGUGACGCAGUGACAGGUGCUGCAUGGCUGUCGUCAGCUCGUGUCGUGAGAUGUUCGGUUAAGUCCGGCAACGAGCGCAACCCACAUCCUUAGUUGCCAGCAGUUCGGCUGGGCACUCUAAGGAAACUGCCCGUGAUAAGCGGGAGGAAGGUGUGGAUGACGUCAAGUCCUCAUGGCCCUUACGGGUUGGGCUACACACGUGCUACAAUGGCAGUGACAAUGGGUUAAUCCCAAAAAGCUGUCUCAGUUCGGAUUGGGGUCUGCAACUCGACCCCAUGAAGUCGGAAUCGCUAGUAAUCGCGUAACAGCAUGACGCGGUGAAUACGUUCCCGGGCCUUGUACACACCGCCA
rnacentral:rRNA from 1 species